rnacentral:rRNA from 1 species
UACGUAGGUGGCAAGCGUUGUCCGGAAUUAUUGGGCGUAAAGCGCGCGCAGGUGGUCCUUUAAGUCUGAUGUGAAAGCCCACGGCUCAACCGUGGAGGGUCAUUGGAAACUGGGGACUUGAGUGCAGGAGAGAAGAGUGGAAUUCCACGUGUAGCGGUGAAAUGCGUAGAGAUGUGGAGGAACACCAGUGGCGAAGGCGACUCUUUGGCCUGUAACUGACACUGAGGCGCGAAGCGUGGGAGC